rnacentral:tRNA from 1 species
CGUGGGAUAGAGCAGUGGUAGCUCAACAGGCUCAUGAUCUGAACGUCGUAGGUUCGAUUCCUACUCCCGCAU